GGGAAAUAUAAAAAUGCUCGUUGUUUAAGAAAAGGAUCAAUACUUGAUUCCACCAAUACGUCUUCUUCUACUUGAUCAAACCCAAUUAAAUAUGUUGAAAGUUGCAGGUUUUUGCAGGUUUAUUUUGACUGAAAUUCUCUGCACACUUAGCAUUUAAGUAGUCUCUUAAUUCCUAACACCAUAGUCAGAGUUUGCAUCAAGAACAGCUCACUGUUGCACAUGGAAGAUGACACGUGGCAUCUUCAAUCUAUCUCUAUUCUCUACUACACGUUACUCUUAUACAGAUAUGAGCUUAACUGGAUCUAUCGUUCUGUUCUCUUAGGUUGAAUUAGGGAUGACAAUAACAAACACGGCAUGUUCAUAAUAGUAUCGGUUUAGUAUUUGCCAAUAAAAACACGACAUUACACGAUUACACGAAACGUAAGUUGAUAUGACACGAUAAUACGAAAGUAUGUUAUCAUUAAUUGGGUCCAUUUCCGAUACGGCAUGUCUGUUCCGACGACUCAGUGCGGACACCAUCGGGGUGCAGUCCACCAUCUUGAGGCCGGAACCGGAAUACCGUUCGUGAAUUGCGAGUUCGCGAUGGGUUCAGGAACCCGAAACCACCAACUGUACUCCAGGAACCCAACACAGUUCCAGUUUUCGGGUGUCGUUCAACUGCAAUGCAGUUCCUCACGUGUCGACCGUCAGAUUGCCUUCAAUGCCCAUCCGCGUGAGGUACCUCACUCGGUUUCAGAGACAUAAUGGGUGAUUAUCAAUUAAUGUUUAUCGUUUAUAUAAUAAGAUAAAAUAAUAUUUUUAUGCAAACCCUUAUAAAAUAUAUCUUUAAAAUAAUAACUAUGUAAUAAGGUGAAAUAAUAAAAUGUAUUAUUAGAUAAUUAUUAUCAUUAAAAUAAUAGUUUCGUAUUCGCGUCGACAUGAAUUUUAUGUCGUGUCAGUCGUGAAAUCGUGUUUGUGUCAAUGAAAAAAAUUAAUCGAGAUUUGGUCUGUAAUAUAAAUGAUAUUAGUUUAAGGGUGUGAAAAUAAAUAAUUUAAAGUAUGGGGGGG
rnacentral:lncRNA from 1 species